GUCAUGUCGGCAGCAGAAGUCUAAACCGUUGGAUUAAUCGAGCGGUUGGAAAUUACGAUAAAAAACACAUCAUAGCUAUAAAUUGCACCCACACGUUCUCGUAGAGUUAUCGGCGCUAGAAAACCUAAAACCGAUUCUGAUCUCUGAAUCUGAGUCACAUCAACCUCCAACAACACCAGAUCUCUCGAUCUACCCGAAGAACACUGCUUCAGAUUCAAUUUUCAUGUUAAUUUGAUGUGUUGGUAGGUAACUGAAGAAGGUAAAGUGAUGUCAUCACUGCUUAGGUACAAGGAUUGUUUUGCCGGUUUUUUUAUGAAUCUUCAGCUGGAUAUGGUGCCUCAACUAGCUUUCUUUUAUUUUGAUUUCUAACAACAGCCAUAGCAUCGAUUUUUUACUACUUGCUUUGCCGAAGGAAGUUAAGCUUAUGCCCAAAAUGCCAUGUCUAUGUUUUUAGGUUACUAUUCUCUUUUGUCUUUUCUAGUGUGAUUUACUAUGUGAGGCUUAUUUGUUGUUAUAUAAGCAUUGGAAUGGAUUAGUAUCUUCCUUUCUUCUUUAAUUAA